rnacentral:rRNA from 1 species
AGAGUUUGAUCAUGGCUCAGAUUGAACGCUGGCGGCAGGCCUAACACAUGCAAGUCGAGCGGAUGAUGGGAGCUUGCUCCUGGAUUCAGCGGCGGACGGGUGAGUAAUGCCUAGGAAUCUGCCUGGUAGUGGGGGACAACGUUUCGAAAGGAACGCUAAUACCGCAUACGUCCUACGGGAGAAAGCAGGGGACCUUCGGGCCUUGCGCUAUCAGAUGAGCCUAGGUCGGAUUAGCUUGUUGGUGAGGUAAUGGCUCACCAAGGCGACGAUCCGUAACUGGUCUGAGAGGAUGAUCAGUCCCACUGGAACCGAGACACGGUCCAGACUCUUACGGGAGGCAGCAAUGGGCGUCUUUUGCCAGAUAUCCAUCUCUGUGCCGGCCUCUCGAUUCCUCCUUCUCGUCGUGUUACCAUGUACAACAAUGAGUAGUGUCCGAUUGAUAUACCGAGAUUCA